UACGAAGGGGGCUAGCGUUGCUCGGAAUCACUGGGCGUAAAGCGCACGUAGGCGGCUUUUUAAGUCAGGGGUGAAAUCCUGGAGCUCAACUCCAGAACUGCCUUUGAUACUGGGAAGCUUGAGUCCGGGAGAGGUGAGUGGAACUGCGAGUGUAGAGGUGAAAUUCGUAGAUAUUCGCAAGAACACCAGUGGCGAAGGCGGCUCACUGGCCCGAUACUGACGCUGAGGCACGAAAGCGUGGGGAGCAAACAGG
rnacentral:rRNA from 1 species